GGACAGGAGGGAGGAGCAGCGCCCAGCAGGGGGGGGAGAGGGGGGACACGGGGAAGGGAGGAAAUCCAGCAAUGAA
rnacentral:SRP_RNA from 1 species